rnacentral:rRNA from 1 species
AGAGUUUGAUCAUGGCUCAGAACGAACGCUGGCGGCAUGGAUUAGGCAUGCAAGUCGAACGGUGAAAAGAGAGCUUGCUCUCUUGGAUCAGUGGCGAAAGGGUGAGUAACGCGCGAGUAAUCUGCCCUCAAGUUGGGAAUAGCCGUGGGAAACCGCGAUUAAUACCGAAUGUGGUAGUGAAUAUGCAUGUAUUUAUUACUAAAGAUUUAUUGCUUGAGGAUGAGCUCGCGUCCCAUUAGCUUGUUGGUAAGGUAACGGCUUACCAAGGCGAUGACGGGUAGGUGGUCUGAGAGGAUGGUCACCCACACUGGGACUGAGACACUGCCCAGACUCCUACGGGAGGCUGCAGUCGAGAAUCUUCCGCAAUGGGCGAAAGCCUGACGGAGCGAUGCCGCGUGUAGGAUGAAGGCCUUUGGGUCGUAAACUACUGUCACCGGGGAUGAAAUCUGACAGUACCCGGAGAGGAAGCCACGGCUAACUACGUGCCAGCAGCCGCGGUAAUACGUAGGUGGCGAGCGUUGUUCGGAUUUAUUGGGCGUAAAGGGUUCGUAGGGGGUUUGGUAAGUUUGAUGUGAAAAUUCAUGGCUCAACCAUGAACGUGCAUUGGAAACUGCCAGACUAGAGUAUCGUAGAGGAAAGCGGAAUUCCGGGAGUAGCGGUGGAAUGCGUAGAUAUCCGGAAGAACACCGAGAGCGAAGGCAGCUUUCUUGGCGAAGACUGACCCUGAGGGACGAAAGCGUGGGUAGCGAACAGGAUUAGAUACCCUGGUAGUCCACGCCGUAAACGUUGUGUGCUUGG